rnacentral:rRNA from 1 species
AAGCGCAUACGGUGGAUGCCUUGGCAGUCAGAGGCGAUGAAAGACGUGGUAGCCUGCGAUAAGCUUCGGGGAGUCGGCAAACAGACUUUGAUCCGGAGAUCUCUGAAUGGGGGAACCCACCCAGCAUAAGCUGGGUAUCUUGUACUGAAUACAUAGGUGCAAGAGGCGAACCAGGGGAACUGAAACAUCUAAGUACCCUGAGGAAAAGAAAUCAACCGAGAUUCCCUUAGUAGUGGCGAGCGAACGGGGACUAGCCCUUAAGUGGCUUUGAGAUUAGCGGAACGCUCUGGAAAGUGCGGCCAUAGUGGGUGAUAGCCCUGUACGCGAAAAUCUCUUAGUCAUGAAAUCGAGUAGGACGGAGCACGAGAAACUUUGUCUGAAUAUGGGGGGACCAUCCUCCAAGGCUAAAUACUACUGACUGACCGAUAGUGAACCAGUACCGUGAGGGAAAGGCGAAAAGAACCCCGGAGAGGGGAGUGAAAUAGAUCCUGAAACCGUAUGCGUACAAGCAGUGGGAGCCUACUUUGUUGGGUGACUGCGUACCUUUUGUAUAAUGGGUCAGCGACUUAUAUUCAGUGGCGAGCUUAACCGAAUAGGGGAGGCGUAGCGAAAGCGAGUGUUAAUAGCGCGUUUAGUCGCUGGGUAUAGACCCGAAACCGGGCGAUCUAUCCAUGGGCAGGUUGAAGGUUAGGUAACACUGACUGGAGGACCGAACCGACUACCUUUGAAAAGUUAGCGGAUGACCUGUGGAUCGGAGUGAAAGGCUAAUCAAGCUCGGAGAUAGCUGGUUCUCCUCGAAAGCUAUUUAGGUAGCGCCUCAUGUAUCACUGUAGGGGGUAGAGCACUGUUUCGGCUAGGGGGUCAUCCCGACUUACCAAACCGAUGCAAACUCCGAAUACCUACAAGUGCCGAGCAUGGGAGACACACGGCGGGUGCUAACGUCCGUCGUGAAAAGGGAAACAACCCAGACCGUCAGCUAAGGUCCCAAAGUUAUGGUUAAGUGGGAAACGAUGUGGGAAGGCUUAGACAGCUAGGAGGUUGGCUUAGAAGCAGCCACCCUUUAAAGAAAGCGUAAUAGCUCACUAGUCGAGUCGGCCUGCGCGGAAGAUGUAACGGGGCUCAAACCAUACACCGAAGCUACGGGUGUCACUUAGGUGACGCGGUAGAGGAGCGUUCUGUAAGCCUGUGAAGGUGAGUUGAGAAGCUUGCUGGAGGUAUCAGAAGUGCGAAUGCUGACAUGAGUAACGACAAUGGGAGUGAAAAACUCCCACGCCGAAAGACCAAGGUUUCCUGCGCAACGUUAAUCGACGCAGGGUUAGUCGGUCCCUAAGGCGAGGCUGAAAAGCGUAGUCGAUGGAAAACAGGUUAAUAUUCCUGUACUUCUAGUUAUUGCGAUGGAGGGACGGAGAAGGCUAGGCCAGCUUGGCGUUGGUUGUCCAAGUUUAAGGUGGUAGGCUGAGAUCUUAGGUAAAUCCGGGAUCUUAAGGCCGAGAGCUGAUGACGAGUUGCCUUUAGGCGACGAAGUGGUUGAUGCCAUGCUUCCAAGAAAAGCUUCUAAGCUUCAGAUAACUAGGAACCGUACCCCAAACCGACACAGGUGGUUGGGUAGAGAAUACCAAGGCGCUUGAGAGAACUCGGGUGAAGGAACUAGGCAAAAUGGCACCGUAACUUCGGGAGAAGGUGCGCCGGUGAGGGUGAAGGACUUGCUCCGUAAGCUCAUGCCGGUCGAAGAUACCAGGCCGCUGCGACUGUUUAUUAAAAACACAGCACUCUGCAAACACGAAAGUGGACGUAUAGGGUGUGACGCCUCCCCGGUGCCGGAAGGUUAAUUGAUGGGGUUAGCUAACGCGAAGCUC